rnacentral:sRNA from 1 species
GCCUGGGUUGCCUGGCAUGGGAGGGGAGGUUAAGGGCUAAACACAAUGAACUUCCCUCAUGCCUGGAGCCUCUGGUCUAUGGAACAUUUAAGGAGGGGAGAGAUGUAACUUCAGAGACUCACUCACUCUUACAGCUAAUCUGGCCUCUGCGUUCUUAGAACUUCUUUUUCCAGAACAUUCUCAGGGUAUGUUGACGGUAUAGUGGUGAAUGUAGCUGUCUUCCAGAACAUUUCCAGAUACUCAUAGAAUUCCUGGAUCUCCAUGGCUUUAGAAGUUAGGAAGGUAAACAAAGCUUAUUCAGAGAGUUGGCCAGCAGUUUUCGGGGAGGAAGAAGAGAUAGGGUAUGGACUUUGGUAUUUCAGACUUCUAAAAUCCCUCCGAAGGACUGUCCAUCACAGCUACAUCGAGCUGUCCUGGCGCCCCGUUGCAGAGGGACAAGCCACACACACUGUGGGCUGUGGUCGGUGAGCAUCUGACAGCCGUGGGGAGAAGUAUCCAGCAAUAAAGGUGUGAAAGCAAGAAGAAUCGCAGGCCUGCCUUAGUGCGGCAGCUGGCAGGGCAGCCGGAGAGGUGCAGCACAUGGCGCUGGGCCACGUCGCGGACUGGAAAUGUCAUUAUCUGCUAUUUACCACGGCAGAGGACAAAUAAAGAAAUGAAGACUGGAAGAGGUGAGGUGAGUUUUACUAGAACACUCCAUAGAAGCAAGCUGGGAAUGCAACCCAAGCUGGUCCUACAGCUCUAAGUUUCUCUGUUCCUGCUUUGAGGAAGAGAGAAGCACCCCACCCCCAAGCCCCCAAUUUGUGGUCACAGUCAGUCAUUCAGGAGUUCCAGGAACUUCCCAGGGCCGGUGUGGGAACAGCAUGGGGGCCAUUCUGAGACAUGGGGGAGAGGGGAGUCAAGUGGCCUCUCACUUUGGCCUCCUACAGGCCAGGGCUCUUUAUCAGGGACCCCCACUCACAACCUCUAAUUCCUUCCCAUCUGUUUAGAAUACACAGAAGACACUGAUGCUCUAUUAGCAUAGGACCUCCAUCCCCAUGCUGCCUUGUCCCCAAGCCCUUCACUCUUCCAAUGGCCAUCACCGCAAGGCUUGCCUCCCGCUUGCACAGGAGAAAGACCUCCCAACAAUCUAUUUGGCCUACAACUGCUAGAGCUAUCCCUUGAAAACACACAGCAGGGGUUGGAGAGGUAGUUCAGUGGGUAAGGCCACUGGCUGCUUCCACAGGGCCAGGGUUCAAGUCCCAGCAACUACAUGGUGGUUCGCAACUGCAACUCCAGCUCCAGGGGAUCUACUGCCCUCUUCUGGCCUAUCCAGGCACUGCACCCACAGAGUGCACAGACAUACACAGAAAAGGCAAAACACCCAAACAGCACACAACCACAAAACAGACUUCUUCUCAGUACUCCUCGCCAUGCUCAGUCUCCAUGGCAUCCUCCUAAAGACACGUUGGAAUUCCAGUUCCUGACCUGGAGUUAGUGGCUCUAUGAAUCUGCCCAAGCUCAUCCCUCGUUCCCUCUGUUCCAGAUACUUUCAUUAGCUCUUAGAGCCAGCUGGUUCUACCUCAAAGUCUUUGUGCCUGCAGGUCCCUCUGCCCAGAACACAUUUCCACCUAGAUCCUCCCCAGGACUGACUCUUGUAUCUAAGAUCAGUUCAGAGAGGUCUCUCUCCAUAGACAAGGACGCAUCACUGUUUCCACUCUGGACAAAGUGCUAACUCUUCCCAGCAUUAUUUUAUGUUCAUUUAAAAAUUGUUGUCCAGUUUCUGCUCUCCCUGGAAAACAGCCUCAAUGACAGCAAGGGUUUUUGUCUAUCCCCCCCGGAACCAGCCUGCACACAGGGGACCCUCUACUCUUUAAAGGAUGGCAAGUGGGGUGUGGUGGUGCACACCUUUAAUCCCAGCACUCAGAAGGCAGGGGCGGCUGGAUCUCUGUGUGCUGGAAGCCACCCUGGUCUAUGGAGCGAGUUCCAGGACAGCCAAGCCUGUCUUGAAAAAGCAGGAUACCCAUGGCUGGGUAACAGUCUUCCUAAGGACACAUGAAGACAACUCUCCCAACCUCCCAAUGCCCUUAUUUAAAUAGUAUUCCCUCCCCUCCCACCUUGGCCCUAACAAGUUUCUGCCAGGCCAGCACUCAGUCUCCUUCCCACUGGCCUAGAAAGAACACAUCACAGAAAUGUCCUCCAACCAGCCCAGCCCCAGGGCACUGGGCAGCGGUGGAGGCAGGUCUGAAAGAACGCCUCCCCUACAGCCCUUACCCAGCUGAGGCCCUCCCCUGGGCCAGUCCGUUGCCUAGGCAAUGGCUCUCUGAGGAGCAGCUGGUAUUAACUCUUUGAUAACCAGGGUCAUCAGCUCUCUCUGUGGCAGAGGGACGGUCCCGUGGGAGGAGUUAUGGGCCAGCCUUUCAUGGUCCCACAAACCUGAACUCUUUAGAGUAGCUGUAGGGGGAGGGACAGGAGAAGCAAACAGGCUGCUGGGGCCACAGGGGCAGAAAGUAGAAGUCACAAAACAUGGCCACCUGCCCUGAUCCUGGGAGCAAAGCACCCCCAGGUUCCUACACCCACCACCUAGGUAGGCUCUAGUUCCGGGCUAAAAGGGGAACCAGCAGACCCACGGGGGCCACAGGGGCAGAAAGUAGAAGUCACAAAACAUGGCCACCUGCCCUGAUCCUGGGAGCAAAGCACCCCCAGGUUCCUACACCCACCACCUAGGUAGGCUCUAGUUCCGGGCUAAAAGGGGAACCAGCAGACCCACGGGUCCCCGUCGUCCUCUGCUGUGCUCUGAUGAUCAAUUCACCCCAUGUGAUAGCAAGGAGAAAGGACUCCGCCUCAGAUCCUGGCUUCCUGCUUACCCACCUCGGUUAAUGUUUAGCUUUGGAAUGCCUCAGACGGUGCCAUUGCAAAAGCCUAAUGUUUCAAGGCCAACUUUACUGCUUCCAGCACGUCCACCUCUACAGUCCUCUCAGUGCGGGUCACCCACCCCUCUACAGUCCUCUCUGUGCGGGUCACCCACCCCAGCUGAGGCUUAUAGCCUCUGAUUUCUUCCCAGAAUUGGUAAAUCUCUGAAACCAUCUUAGGUGAUCAUGACUUGUCAUUUCUUGUUAUCUUAAGAGAGAAGAUUCCUUUCUUUCUGUCUUGUUCACUUUAAGAACUCCACUCUUGGGGCUGGAGAGAUAGCUCAGCAGUUAAG